AUGCCAACCCUGUGCAUUUUCCUUCUGUCUUUGGCGUGGGUCUAUGGAGACAGCAAAAUGAGAAUAUCUCAGGAUCAACUCUCCCUUACGCGGACACCAGACAAGACAGUGCACAUACGCUGCAAGCUGUCUGGGGUUCCCCUUGACAAUGUCAUCGUGCACUGGUAUCAACAGAAAGAAGGGGAGCUCCUGAGACGAAUCCUUUAUGGUUCCACCAAGAGUUACAAGCUAGACGCUCCCAAUCCCCGCUUGGAGACAGACAUGAAAGAGAACGGAGUCUUUUACCUGAUAAUCAAUAAGGUCACCAAGUCCGAUGAAGGCACCUACUACUGUGCCUGCUGGGGGAUCAAGAUCUUUGCAGAAGGAACUAAACUCAUAGUAACUGCCCCUGACAGAAACUUUGGUCCAGAAUUCUCCCCCAAGCCCACUAUUUUUCUUCCUUCAACGGCUGAAAUAAACCUCCAAAAGGCUGGCACAUACCUUUGUCUUCUUGAGAAUUUUUUCCCUGAUGUUAUUAAGGUACAUUGGAAGGAAAAGAACAGCAAUACGAUUCUGGAAUCCCAGCAGGGAUCUACCAUGAAGACUAAUGACACAUACAUGAAAUUCAGCUGGCUGACCCUGAAUGCAAACUCAAUGAAUAAAGAGCACAAAUGUGUAGUCAGACACGAGAAUAAUGUAAAUGGAGUUGAUCAAGAGAUUCUUUUUCCUUCAAUGAAGAAAGAGGUCGAUGGUAAUAAUCCUAGAGAAAAAGAUUGUUUGAAAGAUCAAAGUGGUACACUGCAGCUGCAGCUCAUCAACACCUCUGCCUACUACACCUACCUCCUCCUCCUGCUCAAGAGUGUCGUCUACUUUGCCAUCAUCACCUUCUGUCUGUUUAAGAGAACAGCAGUCUGCGGCAACGGAGUCAGUAACAGAUGGUAGCACAAGGGGUCAAUUCUUCUUCGUUUAUUGUCCCUGACAGAGUUUGCUGAGGAUCUAGCUGGGAAUCCUUUCUGGGCUUGGUGUAUUUCAGUUCACAUGUGCAUUUUUCUAUGAUGCCAUUAUUGCAUAACAGUUUUGCAAACUACUCACACAGAAAAUUCCAUCUGUAACAAUAACUAAUCCCGCCAUUACUCAGGAGGAGGGCCAAGGGGUAGCCUUUAGCACCACUCUCUCCAGAGUCUCUGUCGGCAGCUACAGCCACCCACAUUGUCAUGCCUUUGAGUGUAGACCACAUGCAGCUUCCAGGCAUGGUCCUCCGUGCCCUUUAACCAAAUACCUGCCUUGCAGCUUUCCAUUUAUACACCCUGAAGCCGCCAUAGUUGCUGCUUGAAUUAUGUACUUUUUCA